AGAAAUCUCACCAGGCCCGGACACUGGAAGGAUUGACAGACUGAGAGCUCUUUCUCGAUUCGGUGGGUGGUGGUGCAUGGCCGUUCUUAGUUGGUGGAGCGAUCUGUCUGGUUAAUUCCGAUAACGAACGAGACCCCAACCUGCUAACUAGCCCUCGGGUCCUGCUUCUGUUGGGCCCGACGGAAUGAUUCGCUUCUUAGAGGGACUCGCGGCGCCUAGCCGCACGAAGGGGGGCGAUAA
rnacentral:rRNA from 1 species